GUCUUUACUCGCUACGUGUGAUAGGAUGGUUUCACUUUGUACAACGCGCCAAAGUUCACUCAACAAGACGCGCGUGAUUAUUCGGGCUACAGGUCACUGCAACUUCUGCAGAUGUACAGGGAAGCCUCACUGUACCCAGCACCCCAAGGCUGAUUGCAUUCGGAGAUUCUGUUCUCCAUGCCAGAAGAUGGAUGCUUACAAUGGAGGGCAGAGUCAUCAUUGAGUCACAAGACCUAACUGAUUUUCAGUCCGCAUUAGCUGUCUUGUUUGGCUGCUACUACGCUUUCAAUGUUCAGUACCAAGAAGAGGCAGCUGCGACUCUGGAGUUCCUGCAGAGAUUCAUUCUCCCCGAAUAAACCCUGAUGGGACAAAUUGCCAGUCAAAGACACGGAUCAGCCGUACCUCUGGGAAGAAGGUGCAACGAAAAAGUUCUGGCCUGAAUCCUCAUGUUGCGUCUUUAAUAAAAGAGCUUGUUGACUUUGCUUGGCAGAAUUUUUAAAAAACGACCAACAACCGAGUUAAGUAUUGUUAAUGUGUAAUGUGGAAAGUGUUAGUUUGAAUGGCUUGUUCUGCUUCUUAAAAUGUAGCCAAAAUUUAAUUUGUUCUUUAAGUAAAUUGUUUCCCUUUAAAGGGAUAGUUCACCCAAUAUUGAAGAUUCUGUCAACAUUUACUCACUCUCAUGUUGUUACAAACCUUAAUCAAUUUCUUUAUUCUGAUGAACAUGAAGGAAGAUAUUUUGAGAAAUGUUUGUAACCAAGGCAUUCGUGAGCCACUUUCACAUAGUAUUCUUUAAUCCUACUAUGAAAGGUUGAUGAUUG